AAAAAAAAAGGAGUUGGGUAAGGAUGGUUUACUGAGGAGUGCAUUUUCCUCUGGUUCUUGAGUAGAGAAAUCCGGGUCGGGUCUGCCCGCCGCCCGAAAUGGUUCUUGUGUAUAGGAAUCCGGGUCUGGGCUGCCCGGCUGCAGCGGCGGCCAAGAAAACAACAAGCCCGACGAGAAAGAUUAAUGGUUUCAUUUGCAGUAGUGAAUAAAUUAUGAGACUAACAAGAAGCUUUCAUAUUAACACUGCAUUUUUAUUCAUUAUUUGGCUAUCGAUAUAUAUAUAUAUAUAUAUAUAUAUAUAUAUAUAUAUAUAUAU
rnacentral:lncRNA from 1 species